rnacentral:rRNA from 1 species
GUGGGGAAUCUUAGACAAUGGGGGAAACCCUGAUCUAGCCAUGCCGCGUGAAUGAUGAAGGUCUUAGGAUUGUAAAAUUCUUUCACCGGGGACGAUAAUGACGGUACCCGGAGAAGAAGCUCCGGCUAACUUCGUGCCAGCAGCCGCGGUAAUACGAAGGGGGCUAGCGUUGCUUGGAAUUACUGGGCGUAAAGGGCGCGUAGGCGGACAGCUUAGUCAGAGGUGAAAGCCCAGGGCUCAACCUUGGAAUUGCCUUUGAUACUGGCUGUCUUGAGUUUGGGAGAGGUGAGUGGAACUCCGAGUGUAGAGGUGAAAUUCGUAGAUAUUCGGAAGAACACCGGUGGCGAAGGCGACUCACUGGCCCAAUACUGACGCUGAGGCGCGAAAGCGUGGGGAGCAAACAGGAUUAGAUACCCUGGUAGUCC